UACAGAGGGUGCGAGCGUUGUUCGGAAUUAUUGGGCGUAAAGGGCGCGUAGGCGGUGCGGUAAGUCACCUGUGAAAUCUCCUGGCUCAACUGGGAGCUUGCAGGCGAAACUGCCGUGCUGGAGUGUGGGAGAGGUGCGUUGGAAUUCCUGGUGUAGCGGUGAAAUGCGUAGAUAUCAGGAGGAACACCUGUGGCGAAAGCGGCGCACUGGACCACAACUGACGCUGAGGCGCGAAAGCUAGGGGAGCAAACAGG
rnacentral:rRNA from 1 species